CAUUGGAACUGAGACACGGUCCAAACUCCUACGGGAGGCAGCAGUGAGGAAUAUUGGUCAAUGGGCGCUAGCCUGAACCAGCCAAGUAGCGUGAAGGAUGACUGCCCUAUGGGUUGUAAACUUCUUUUAUAUGGGAAUAAAGUGCAGUAUGUAUACUGCUUUGCAUGUACCUUAUGAAUAAGGAUCGGCUAACUCCGUGCCAGCAGCCGCGGUAAUACGGAGGAUCCGAGCGUUAUCCGGAUUUAUUGGGUUUAAAGGGAGCGUAGGCGGGUUGUUAAGUCAGUUGUGAAAGUUUGCGGCUCAACCGUAAAAUUGCAGUUGAUACUGGCAUCCUUGAGUACAGUAGAGGUAGGCGGAAUUCGUGGUGUAGCGGUGAAAUGCUUAGAUAUCACGAAGAACUCCGAUUGCGAAGGCAGCCUGCUGGACUGUAACUGACGCUGAUGCUCGAAAGUGUGGGUAUCAAACAGGAUUAGAUACCCUGGUAGUCCACACAGUAAACGAUGAAUACUCGCUGUUUGCGAUAUACAGUAA
rnacentral:rRNA from 1 species